rnacentral:miRNA from 1 species
AUCCGAAGGAUUCAAUGGAUCUAAUGGAUCCAAUGGAUUUUAGUUAUAUAAAAAAAUGGAUCCGGUGGAUCCAAUGGAUUAUAUAACUAAAAUCCAUUGGAUCCAUUAGAUCCAUUGAAUCCAUCGGA